rnacentral:rRNA from 1 species
GCGACAGGCCUAACACAUGCAAGUCGAGGGCGAGCACAAGGAGCAAUCUGAGGUGGCGACCGGCGCACGGUGAGUAACACGUAUGCAACCUGCCUGUAAGCGGGGAAUAACCCGUUGAAAGACGGACUAAUACCGCAUAAUACUAAAUUACUGCAUGGUAAUUUAUUUAAACAUUUAUGGCUUACAGAUGGGCAUGCGCAUGAUUAGCUAGUUGGAGAGGUAACGGCUCCCCAAGGCAACGAUCAUUAGGGGUUCUGAGAGGAAGGUCCCCCCACACUGGUACUGAGACACGGACCAGACUCCUACGGGAGGCAGCAGUGAGGAAUAUUGGUCAAUGGACGAGAGUCUGAACCAGCCAAGUCGCGUGCAGGAAGAAUGUCCUAUGGAUUGUAAACUGCUUUUGCAGGGGAAUAAAGUGCAUCACGUGUGAUGUUUUGUAUGUACUCUGCGAAUAAGGAUCGGCUAACUCCGUGCCAGCAGCCGC